GACGAACGCUGGCGGCGUGCUUAACACAUGCAAGUCGAACGGUGAAGCGCCUUCCUUUUUGGUGGGUGUGGAUGAGUGGCGAACGGGUGAGUAACACGUGAGUAACCUGCCCCCUUCUUCUGGAUAACCGCAUGAAAGUGUGGCUAAUACGGGAUAUUCUGGGUCUGUCGCAUGAUGGGUCUGGGAAAGAUAUUGUUUCGGUGGGGGAUGGGCUCGCGGCCUAUCAGCUUGUUGGUGGGGUGAUGGCCUACCAAGGCGGUGACGGGUAGCCGGCCUGAGAGGGGGGGGGGCAGCGCGGGGAGGAGGCCCCGGCCCACGCCCCAGGGGGGGGGAGCGGGGGGGAAAAUGGACGAAGGGGCGCAGGCCGGAGGCGCGGGCGCCGGUGGGGGGAGGGGGCCUGUCGGGUGGGGAACCUUUUUCGCAGGGGAAGAAGGCCUGCCUCUUUUGGGGGUGGGUUGACGGUAGCUGGAAAAGAGGCCCCGCUUACCUACUG
rnacentral:rRNA from 1 species